rnacentral:rRNA from 1 species
CCUGGCGGCACUAGCGCGGUGGUCCCACCUGACCCCAUGCCGAACUCAGAAGUGAAACGCUGUAGCGCCGAUGGUAGUGUGGGGUCUCCCCAUGCGAGAGUAGGGAACUGCUAGGC